UAUUUUUUUUGAAAUUUUUUUACAUCAAAAGCUUCUUCUCAUUCUCCUCUAUACAAAUCCGGUGUUACUUUUAAAAAGGGUAGAGAGAUUCGAGCUAGAUCUAGCAAAGAGAGUUUGAGUGAAAUUACCUCCGGUUUCAAAACGGAGAAGACCGGAUCUACUACUUUAAGCUCGGAUUCACUUCUUUCUUGCUAAAUUCCUCCGAUCC
rnacentral:lncRNA from 1 species